UGUAGGAUUAACUCUAUAAUUUUAGUGUCCUUACCGUGGUUGGCUUAUUUUAAUAAUAAUAAAAAAAAAAAUCUAAUUUAUGUAAGUCUUGAAUUAAUGCCUGUCAAACGAGCAUGGUUCACAUAAGCUUAAAAUUUUGUUCAUAGAAUCUUUACAACCUUAAAAUUUUAAUUAGGAAGAAAAUAGUAGCAUUGAAUGAUAUUGAAAUAUUGAAUGUACGGGGGAUUCCUUUUUGCCUCGACUGGAAUGUUGAGUGGCGCUCCUUUCCUUUGGCUAAAUAUUUUAAACUUUUAUCGAUGAAAGGCGUUGUGAGAUUUGGAAAACAUGGGAAGCUCAACCCGUGUUACAUCGGACCUUUUGAGAUUUUGGAGCGAGUUGGAGCUGUUGCUUAUCGCUUGGCCUUACCACCAGAUCUAGCUCAGGUCCACAAUGUCUUUCAUAUCUCUAUGCUGAGGAAGUAUCUGUCAGAUCCAUCGCAUGUCAUUCAGCAUGAACCAGUGGAGCUUCAGAAGAAUCUGUCUUACGAAGAACAACCAGCGGAGUUUCUGGCCUACAAAGAGCAACAGUGAGGAAACCGAGUGAUUCUAUUCAUCAAGGUUAGAUGGAGCAACCGCUCCAGUGAUGAAGCCACCUGGGAGCGAGAAUCCGACUUGAGGGAUCGCUUUCCAGAGUUGUUCCCUGACCCUUGAUGCGAGUUUAGAGGACUAAACUCCAUUUAAGGGGGGAGUUUGUAAUGUUUGCUGAGUGAGAAGUGCUUUGACUGGUUUGACUGAGAAUUAUUUGUCAGUGAGCCCCACUUUUGUCUCUUUGCCCGUAAAUUCUGGAUCUUGUCUGCCUGAUUAUGUAUUAUUCGAGGCUCAUAAUUGAGAUUAUGGGAUGCUCUUAAAGGCUUGUCUAAAAACCAAACCAUUCUUCUCUCUAAAGCUCUUUCCACCUUGUUAACAACUCAACACCUUGGCCGAAUUUUCAAUUUCUGUUCUCUCUUGAAGCUUGGAUUUUGGAGGAUCUCUUCACCAGCAAGUUUAGAGAUCCUAUAGCGAGCCCGAAUUCGCGGGACUUGUCGAAUCCAACUUCUUAGCUCGGAGCCAGUACAUCUCCAUUUCUGGCUCACCCAGCUAGGAGGAGCAAGUCCUAGCCAUGUGCACAUGUUUUCUGUAGUAGCGCUACCGGACAUGCGUGUCCGUUCCGACUGCGGUCAAAGAUCCAGCUCUGGUUGAUAUUUUGUUUUGUUUUGACUUCACAGUUGAUGAUCCAACCUCGUGCUGUUGAUUUCUGUUAUCAGUUAGGGAGAUGUACAUGUUUGUUUUU